UCGUUUGUCAACAUAUUGAGAUCCCACUGCUCAAACCGAUUCCCACAUAUCUAAAUAGCUCAUUGAGAACCCACUGCUCAGACCAAUGCACUAAAACUUUGAAAUCGAAGCAACUGCAAACCAACAAAAUUCCCAGUGAAUGUUUAGGUGCCAAAAGUGUGCAUAAAUAUAACUUGCAUAAGUUUGAUAUAUGAAAGAACCAACCUAUUUAAAAUUGUCAGUCAUCCAGGUAAUAAUAGGACCCAGCAGAUUUCUGCUCCCUGUCCUUGGUUGAUUCCAAUUUGUUGAUUCUAGGGCGGAAAUUAGUUGGGUCCCUUCUAAAUGUGAUAUCCAAAUG